GCAAGGAAGGAGUCCUGGGAGCAUGGCUUUCCCUGAGCCAAAGCCGCGGCCUCCAGAGCUGCCGCAGAAACGGUUGAAGACGCUGGACUGCGGGCAGGGGGCAGUGCGAGCCGUACGAUUUAAUGGUGAGCGCCUUCGUCUUCAUUCCGGGUCCUCCUCCCGCCUCCUGAGAUCGACGGCCCAGUAACCCCCGCCUGGUGUUCCCCAGUGGAUGGCAAUUACUGCCUGACGUGCGGCAGUGACAAGACGCUGAAGCUGUGGAACCCGCUUCGGGGGACGCUGCUGCGGACGUACAGCGGCCACGGCUACGAGGUGCUGGAUGCGGCCGGCUCCUUUGACAACAGUAGUCUCUGCUCCGGCGGCGGGGACAAGGCGGUGGUUCUGUGGGAUGUGGCAUCAGGGCAGGUCGUGCGCAAAUUCCGGGGCCACGCAGGGAAGGUGAACACGGUGCAGUUUAAUGAAGAGGCCACAGUUAUCCUGUCCGGCUCUAUUGAUUCCAGUAUCCGCUGUUGGGAUUGCCGCUCACGGAGGCCUGAGCCAGUGCAGACGCUGGAUGAGGCCAGAGAUGGCGUGUCCAGUGUGAAGGUGUCAGACCACGAGGUCCUGGCAGGCUCUGUGGAUGGCCGCGUGAGACGCUAUGACC
rnacentral:sRNA from 1 species